rnacentral:rRNA from 1 species
UGGGGAAUUUUGGACAAUGGACGCAAGUCUGAUCCAGCCAUGCCGCGUGCAGGAAGAAGGCCUUCGGGUUGUAAACCGCUUUUGUCAGGGAAGAAACGAGUUUCUCUAAUACAGAGACUUAAUGACGGUACCUGAAGAAUAAGCACCGGCUAACUACGUGCCAGCAGCCGCGGUAAUACGUAGGGUGCAAGCGUUAAUCGGAAUUACUGGGCGUAAAGCGUGCGCAGGCGGUUAUGCAAGACAGAUGUGAAAUCCCCGGGCUCAACCUGGGAACUGCAUUUGUGACUGCAUAGCUGGAGUGCGGCAGAGGGGGAUGGAAUUCCGCGUGUAGCAGUGAAAUGCGUAGAUAUGCGGAGGAACACCGAUGUCGAAGGCAAUCCCCUGGGCCUGUACUGACGCUCAUGCACGAAAGCGUGGGGAGCAAACA